UACGGAGAGUGCAAGCAUUAAUCGGAAUUAUUGGGCGUAAAGGGCGCGUAGGCGGGAUAGUAAGUCAGAUGUGAAAUACUGAAGCUCAACUUCAGUGCUGCAUUUGAAACUGCAAUUCUUGAGGGUUGACGGAGAAAACGGAAUUCCACGUGUAGCGGUGAAAUGCGUAGAUAUGUGGAAGAACACCUGUGGCGAAAGCGGUUUUCUAGUUAACACCUGACGCUGAGGCGCGAGAGCAAGGGGAGCAAACAGG
rnacentral:rRNA from 1 species